ACGGCCAUACCAUGCUGAAUAUACCGGUUCUCGUUAGAUCACCGAAGUCAAGCAUCAUUGGGCACGGUCAGUACUUGACAAACUGGGAACACCGUAUGCCGU